GAGAGGGAAGCUCUCACCUGCCUAUAUUCUGAGUACGCGCGAUGUGCCUGUGUUUGUGUCUCGGUGGUGUACGCCUGCGCACUGGUUUUUGCAUCGUCUGCGGACGUUUCGCCUCUAGCGGCUCUUGAGAAUGCCCUUUCGCGUGGAUGAAAGAUGGGAGGAGAGCAGGCAGAGGACAGGAUGGUGACGCGAGAGGAGCGGCCUCAGUUCUCUGAGGCCUCUUCGCAUUGCUUUAUCGCCUACUAGUAGACGACGGCUACGAUGACAUAUGAGCCGGCUUGCGCCAGGGUGGAAGGUCGAGUUUUGUGGUCGUGGUGCUGGAGAGGCGGCGCACCCUGUUCGACGUGCUCGCUGUGCCCAUAUGGCAGAUCAAUGCCGCAAGGGAAUGCAGCUGAAUGUCUGGCGUCUCUUGUGCAAGGCACACACGCGCAAACAGACAGGCACACAAUACGCACGAUGCACAGGGUAUGAUGCGUUGACAUCGACAUAGCAAUUUGCGAUUGACUCACUUCGUGAUCAUGAUACCAUUAUUUACCUUCUGAUACCCCUGAUGGGCGUGCGUGUAUGUCUGCAAGUGCGCGUGUGGAUAGGUGUGUGGCAAUGUUGCCGUUCCUCGCUUCGGAAGUGUCGGCCUGUGUCUCUUUCUCUCCCGCGGGACUCGGGGGUCAUGCUUUAUUUUUCCAAGAAAAGAGGGCUUCACGCAUGCAGCAGCCGCGCAGCGCCCCUUUUAGCAAGAAGAAAGCGCCCCACGCUGUACGUGCGUGUCUUGCAUAGGCUGACUCUGCGACAACGAAGAGAUUCAUGGGCGCAUGAGGACAACGACAUGCAACUAAUAAACAAGAACAGCAACGCACGUCGUCAUGGGGCUUUCUGGUGUGUGCGUUUUUUGUGUGCUCGUGCAUACUCCCCCCCCCGAUCACGCAGCAUCGCUGAUGCUCACACUUAUCGGUGGGUAAGCAAGAACCUUCUGAUUCACCGUGCUUUGGCGGACCAUCUCUUCCCUUGCGUUUGCGCCGCCGCCCGGCGCCCGCCUGGCCAACGAGAUGCCUCUGACGGACUGGCACAUGCGCUCCAGUCACCUUCUCCCUGCUUACUCCCUUGCCGCCUUUGCUUUUGUGCUUUUCCUGUUCUUGAUCCUCUUGCUGCCUCUCUGCAG
rnacentral:misc_RNA from 1 species